rnacentral:rRNA from 1 species
CNAANGAUAAGCUAUCUUCGGAUAGUGGACAGUGGCAGACGGGUNNNUNANGCGUAGCAACCUACCUAGUAGUACGGAAUAGCCCUUGGAAACGAGGAGUAAUACCGUAUACGCCCUUCCUUUAUUGGUGGGGGAAAGAUUCAUCGCUAUUAGAUGGGGCUGCGUUAGAUUAGCUAGUUGGUGAGGUAAAAGCUUACCAAGGCGACGAUCUAUAGCGGGUCUGAGAGGAUGAUCCGCCACACUGGGACUGAGACACGGCCCAGACUCCUACGGGAGGCAGCAGUGGGGAAUCUUGGACAAUGGGGGAAACCCUGAUCCAGCCAUGCCGCGUGAAUGAUGAAGGCCUUAGGGUUGUAAAAUUCUUUCGAUAGUGAAGAUAAUGACGGUAACUAUUAAAGAAGCCCCGGCUAACUUCGUGCCAGCAGCCGCGGUAAUACGAAGGGGGCUAGCGUUGUUCGGAAUUACUGGGCGUAAAGCGUACGUAGGCGGACUAUUAAGUCAGAUGUGAAAUCCCAAGGCUCAACCUUGGAACUGCAUUUGAAACUGGUAGUCUAGAGAUCAGGAGAGGUUAGUGGAAUACCGAGUGUAGAGGUGAAAUUCGUAGAUAUUCGGUGGAACACCAGUGGCGAAGGCGACUAACUGGACUGACACUGACGCUGGGGUACGAAAGUGUGGGGAGCAAACAGGANUAGAUACCCUGGUAGUCCACACCGUAAACGAUGAGAGCUAGUUGUCUGCAGGCAUGCCUGUAGGUGACGCAGCUAACGCAUUAAGCUCUCCGCCUGGGNGUACGG